AACAGAAUAUAAACUAACAGAAUUUGACAAAUGGCAUGAAUUAUGCGAAACAGAGGGAGCUAAUGUGUGCAUAUGUGUGCAUGCCGUGUCUAGCGGCCGGGAGCCGGUGUCAGGAUUGGGUCAAAGGCCCUGUGGGCCAUUGGGGCCUCACUGAAGCUGCAAACCGGCUUCGGGUGCUGCAGGCCGGGUUGGAGAGGCUGCAGUGGAGUCCGUGGCUGCUGGAACAACUGAGAAGGCUGAAACUGGAAGUGCUGGUUGUGGUGGCAACGUCGCUCUAACCAGGGGUGUAUAUCACGAGGCAAACAAGACAUUUGCCUAGGGUGGCACUUGCCAUUAGGGCGGCAAAAUGCCUUGUUUGCUUAGUGAUAGUUACACAAUAAUAUGCCAAAUAUUUUUUUUGCCCCGAGUCCCGAUCCGAUCCUUCACUAUGCGAGCAGCAUCGCCGGCGCCUCAUAGUGAAGGAGUUGAAAGACUUGCUUGCUCCUCCUCCUGACUUCCUCCCGACCUCCCCGGCCUUUUGCGUCCGCACGUUGCCGUCGUGAUGUCACAUGGAGGUGGAGUCACGGGCCGGGAAUGCUAGGGUGAGCCUUAUCUCCUCCAGCACACGGUCACCGUGAACACUGAGUCCAGGCCCUGGCCCCCAAUGCACUGAUC